AGAAUGAACGCUGGCGGCGUGCUUUACACAUGCAAGUCGAGCGAGGCGGGGAGCAAUCCCCAGUCGAGCGGCGAACGGGUGAGUAACGCGUGGAUGACCUGCCCUUCAGCGGGGAAUAACCCGGGGAAACUCGGGCUAAUACCGCAUACGACCGAGAGGUGAAAGGGGGCCGCAAGGCUCUCACUGAAGGAGGGGUCCGCGUCCGAUUAGCUAGUUGGUAGGGUAAUGGCCUACCAAGGCGACGAUCGGUAGCCGGCCUGAGAGGGUGAUCGGCCACACUGGAACUGAGACACGGUCCAGACUCCUGCGGGAGGCAGCAGUGGGAAUUUGCGCAAUGGGCGGAAGCCUGACGCAGCAACGCCGCGUGGAGGAUGAAGGUCUUUGGAUUGUAAACUCCUGUCAGCAGGAAAAGCGACGUGACCUCAUACGUCUGGAGUUGAUUGUACUGCAGAGGAAGCCCGCUAACCCUGUGCCAGCAGCCGCGGU
rnacentral:rRNA from 1 species